GGGGGCGUAACUCAAGUAGAGGCCCGCCUCUUAAGCGGUGUAUGUGGGUUCAAGUCCCGUCGCCCCCACCA
rnacentral:tRNA from 1 species